rnacentral:rRNA from 1 species
AUUGAACGCUGGCGGCAGGCCUAACACAUGCAAGUCGCACGAGUGGCGGACGGGUGAGUCAUGUCUGGGAAACUGCCCGAUGGAGGGGGAUAACUACUGGAAACGGUAGCUACUACCGCAUACCAUCGGAUGUGCCCAGAUGGGAUUAGCUAGUAGGUGGGGUAACAGCUCACCUAGGCGACGAUCACUAGAUGGUCUGAGAGGAUGACCAGCCACACUGGAAAUGUGACACGUGGCAGACUCCUACGGGAGUCAGCAGUGGGGAAGAUUGCACAAUGGGCGCAAGCCUGAGGCAGCCAUGCCGCGUGUAUGAAGAAGGCAUUCGGGUGGAAAAGUACUUUCAGCGAGGAGGCGUUACUCGCAGAAGAAGCACCGGAUAAGUCCGUGCCAGCAGCCGCGGUAAUUC